CUCUCUCUCUACUGUCAGUAAAUACCAGCUACUCAGGAGGGUGCUCUCUCUCUACUGUCAGUAAAUACCAGCUACUCAGGAGGGUGCUCUCUCUCUCUACUGUCAGUAAAUACCAGCUACUCAGGAGGGUGCUCUCUCUCUCUACUGUCAGUAAAUACCAGCUACUCAGGAGGGUGCUCUCUCUCUCUACUGUCAGUAAAUACCAGCUACUCCGUGUGCUCCUGUGAGGUAAGGGCAACCAGAAGCCUGUCAGUCCGUGGGAUGGUUUCUCUCCAGAGUUGAAUAUGUUUCAAA